rnacentral:rRNA from 1 species
GCCAGCAGCCAUAUCACCCUGAAGGUCACAACUGGCAACUCACUGAAGCAAAGCAGGUGUGAGCCUGGUCAGUACCUGGAUGGGAGACCUGGGAAAAACUAUGGUUGUUGCUGGAA